GUCGAACGGGGGCUUCGGCCCCAGUGGCGAACGGUCGCGUAACACGUAAGCAACCUGCCCUGAAGUGGGGGACAACAUCCCGAAAGGGGUGCUAAUACCGCAUGUGGUCACGAGUCGGCAUCGACUUGUGUCUAAAGAUUUAUCGCUUCAGGAUGGGCUUGCGGCCUAUCAGGUAGUUGGUGGGGUAAUGGCCUACCAAGCCGACGACGGGUAGCUGGUCUGAGAGGACGAUCAGCCGGAUUGGGACUGAGAUACGGCCCAGACUCCUACGGGGGGCAGCAAUUAGGAAUCUUGCGCAAUGGGGGAAACCCUGACGCAGCGACGUCGCGUGAAGGAUGAAGGCCCUCGGGUCGUAAACUUCUUUUGAGUGGGAAGAAAUUUGACGGUACCACUCGAAUAAGCCCCGGCUAACUACGUGCCAGCAGCCGCGGUAAUACGUAGGGGGCGAGCGUUGUCCGAAGUUACUGGGCGUAAAGCGCGCGUAGGCGGUUAUUUAAGUCUGGGGUGAAAGGUUCAGCGCUCAACGUGAACAGUGCCUUGGAUACUGGAUGACUUGAGUCUGGGAGGGGGAAGGGGAAUUCCUGGUGUAGCGGUGAAAUGCGUAGAUAUCAGGAGGAACACCGGUGGCGAAGGCGCCUUCCUGGCCUAAGACUGACGCUGAGGUGCGAAAGCGUGGGGAGCAAACGGGAUUAGAUACCCCGGUAGUCCACGCCGUAAACGAUGAGUGCUAGGUGUCGGGGGUAUCGACCCCCCCGGUGCCGUCGCUAACGCAUUAAGCACUCCGCCUGGGGAGUACGGCCGCAAGGUUGAAACUCAAAGGAAUUGACGGGACCCCGCACAAGCGGUGGAGCAUGUGG
rnacentral:rRNA from 1 species